GACCGGCUGAGGGGAGGGCGGGGGAUAGCGAAAGGCCCGACGUUAGCUUGUUGCAGUGUGUCGUAUGCUGGGAGUGAGAGGCAGGUUGGCCCCCCUCAAGUGUUGGACCCCACCCAACACUGAGGCCGCGCCCACUGCUUCAGAUGGAGUACCAGGAGCUAAACCACGCAAGCAUACCAUGCGAGAAUGGGCAAAGUCCGGACAGGAGGGCCUGAGCCAGGAUUCCAACUCAGGAUUUAUUGACUGCGAGGGAGACCACUAGCGCCUCCCGCAGGUAGCGCAUGUCCUCUACAGCGCUCAGCUCGGGCAUGCCCGAGAGGAGCAUGAGGGAGAAGAGGGUGACCAGCAGGCGAGAGUGUGCGCGAAGAGCAAGAUAUGCCUGGGU